UGCUGGAGCUUCCUGUGGUGACAGAGGAAGGUACAUAAGUUCAGAGCAACUGCCUGGAUACACCGGCCACUAUACCAGUGCAGGGGGAGACGGGAGACGUGGAGAUGGUGGAUGGCACUUUACCAACAAAAACGAAAAGCAAGAAACCACAGCUUCUGCACAGAUCUAAGCAUGACUGACGGACAUCUCAUCAUGAAUGACAGAUCAUAAGUUACUUAAUCCUAGCAAAUCUGGGCUGUUGGAAAUCAAAAAAUCAAAGCACCAUUAACCAAAAAGCCACUGACCUAGAUUGGAAGAUUUUACAUGUUUGGCACAGUGUGAAGUUAUGAGACCUGUUUUAACCUGAUUUAUUGAAAUAUUUUAAUACGUAUUUAUUGAGUGCCCGAGUCACCCCCGUUUUGCUUAUAUAUAAUGUGACGUACAUUUGAUGUAAAUAAAGGGUUGUAAAAA